GAUGAACGCUGGCGGCGUGCCUAAUACAUGCAAGUCGAGCGAACAGACGAGGAGCUUGCUCCUCUGACGUUAGCGGCGGACGGGUGAGUAACACGUGGCUAACCUACCUAUAAGACUGGGAUCACUUCGGGAAACCGGAGCUCAUACCGGAUAAUAUAUUGAACCGCAUGGUUCAAUAGUGAAAGACGGUUUUGCUGUCACUUAUAGAUGGAUCCGCGCCGCAUUAGCUAGUUGGUAAGGUAACGGCUUACCAAGGCAACGAUGCGUAGCCGACCUGAGAGGGUGAUCGGCCACACUGGAACUGAGACACGGUCCAGACUCCUACGGGAGGCAGCAGUAGGGAAUCUUCCGCAAUGGGCGAAAGCCUGACGGAGCAACGCCGCGUGAGUGAUGAAGGUCUUCGGAUCGUAAAACUCUGUUAUUAGGGAAGAACAAAUGUGUAAGUAACUAUGCACGUCUUGACGGUACCUAAUCAGAAAGCCACGGCUAACUACGUG
rnacentral:rRNA from 1 species